UUAAAACACGAUCACGAUAUUUAGAUAAUAUGUGCUAAAGGUGGCCCGUCUUCCCCCACCAUACUAUAUCGUUAGAACACAAUUAUUUUCCAACCACUUUUUAACAUUUAACAACGCUCUUUAAAGUUGCGAGAAUAUAUGUUAUAUGCAUUUCUGUAAAUAUUGUUAGUUUACUACAAAAAGGUAGAAACAAGAAUGAUAAUUUUACAACGUAGCUUGGUAACAUAAGGAGCUCUUAGAAGCUGUUUGCUUGGAACUAAUCAACCACAAAGUGCUUUAAAUGUGUUGACACGCUGUCAGGUUAAUAAUAACAACACGGGAGGCGUUAUUUCCUUUUCAUAAAAUUAAAUCGAUUUCUGUUUAAUUUAGGCAGAACCGCGAAAGCAACUCGAUUUGCCUUUUUUCUGGAAACAAAUUAACAUAUUCCGACCUAUCUGAAGCCUGCUAGCAGGCGGGUCCCAUUUGAAUUUGAAAAGGGUUGAGGUUGUCGUCAUGAAUAGGCGAAUAAAAAGAAAAAGAAUUUUCCCUCUCGCUCUAUUUGGCCUAGGAAUUCGGCUGCUGAUCGCUACCAUCGAGACGCUAUGGAAAAGUACUGUAAAAACCCCAGGCCACACAAGGCGCUACAGGGCCGAAUAAGGGUUCCCGGUAACGGCUAUUGGAGCCAGGCGCAUGCGUGGGAGAAUGAAAGAAACAAAGAAUUGCUCCGCGGAAGUAAUAUGUAAAAUAAAAGAAACUAAACUGUC